GUCUCUCAGAAAAAUAUUUCUCCAUCAUUGUGCAUGACUUGUGAAAGAAUUUAAGAUUUCUACGAGUGCUCUAUGUAUGUUUUUCUUCAUCUGAGUUUAAAAAAAAAUUUGGGGAUCCCAUUUGUAACAUUAGAAGUGUUUGGAAAAAUUAUGGCAGCCAUGAUGAUGACAUCAACACACGAAUAAUUAGAAGUCAAACAAUGAAGAAAGUGCUCCGUUAAAAAUCAAGGUGGAAAUCACUACAAAUGAGCUAUGAGCAUGUGCUUUUGUCUAAUACACAGGCCAAGGCAACCGAUAAGGUGAACUCAUGGAUCAACUGGCUAACAAAACUCUUGAGUUCCACUUGCUCAAGGAUGAAUCAAUUCCUCAAGUCCUUGACCCCAAUAUACAGAAAUCAUCCAUUGAGAUUAUUGAAGCUAUUUGAUUUUCUCUUUUAUGCAUUGAAAUCCAUUGCUCAAGUUUUCUACCUCAGUUUGAAGCUUUAUUAGUAUUUGGAUUAGCAAUUCUCGUGGGUAAUUUGAUUAGCAAUCUUCGCUGCUACCUCUGUGAGCAUGCGGUCUCAUGAAAUCAUAUGUAUACAGUAUUUUUACACUUGUAAUUAUGGCUUCUUAGGCGAGGAACCGGCAUAACAAAUCUUCAAAUUGUGCCAAGCUUCCUCGCAUGUUUACUGUGAACAAGUUUAAAGCAAGACAAAUUUACACUUCUUCAUCA